UACGUAGGGGGCAAGCGUUGUCCGGAUUUAUUGGGCGUAAAGAGCGUGUAGGCGGCUUCACAGGUCCGCUGUGAAAACUCGAGGCUCAACCUCGAGCUGUCGGUGGAAACCGUGUGGCUAGAGUCCGGAAGAGGAGAGUGGAAUUCCCGGUGUAGCGGUGAAAUGCGCAGAUAUCGGGAGGAACACCGGUGGCGAAGGCGGGUCUCUGGGCCGAUAUUGACGCUGAGGAGCGAAAGCGUGGGGAGCGAACAGG
rnacentral:rRNA from 1 species